GUGUCAGCAGCCGCGGUAAUACGUAGGGUGCGAGCGUUAAUCGGAAUUACUGGGCGUAAAGCGUGCGCAGGCGGAUUGUUAAGCAAGACGUGAAAUCCCCGGGCUUAACCUGGGAAUGGCGUUUUGAACUGGCAGUCUAGAGUGUGUCAGAGGGGGGUGGAAUUCCACGUGUAGCAGUGAAAUGCGUAGAGAUGUGGAGGAACACCAAUGGCGAAGGCAGCCCCCUGGGAUAACACUGACGCUCAUGUACGAAAGCGUGGGUAGCAAACAGGAUUAGAUACCCUGGUAGUCCACGCCCUAAACGAUGUCAACUGGUUGUUGGGGGAGUGAAAUCCCUUAGUAACGAAGCUAACGCGUGAAGUUGACCGCCUGGGGAGUACGGUCGCAAGAUUAAA
rnacentral:rRNA from 1 species